AUGAGGUGGGGAAGGAAUUUUAACACCGGACCUUCCUGAAUGAGGGUCCCCUUGCUUCUGAUAAGAGUCUGACUUUCAAGUUCCAGUCUUGUCUGGUCCUUGGGUUCCGUGGGAGGAGCAUCUUUGGUUCCGAGGUUGUCUCAGCCAGAGCUGAUAACCAUUGCUCUAAAUCUAAAAGCAACUUCGAAAGUCUGCAGAUGGUGUAAAGGAGAACACUGACGGUUUUAGGACUUAGCAUGUGGGAGAAGAUGCAGAUGCUUCAAGUUCAUUCAGCCUCAGCCUUCUGCAGACCCAUCCUGCAGUGGAUUUGUGGGGAAAGUUCCUGUGGAGAAGGUCUAGAACAUCACGUUGACAACCAAUAGCAUCCUUGGGAAACCCAGAUUGGAUUCUGAAUACAAAUUCCAAAUAAAAUUUUAGUUAAAAAAAAAAAAAAGAUGGACACGUAAAGUCAGGCUUAAGUUUAUCAUGAAAAUGUAUAAACCUAAUGCAUAGGAGAUGCUUACAACUGCCAAAAACUAUUUUUAAUAUAUUCCUGGACAAAAGGUGAGUAAACCAGGGGCUGGUCUGGUGGAGUAGUGGUUAAGUUCACAUGCUCCACUUCAGCGGCCCAGAGUUCACUGGUUCAGAUCCUGGGCACAGACUUACACACUGCUCAUCAAGCCGUGCUGUGGCAGCAUCCAGUAUACAAAGUAGAGGAGGAUAGGCACAAUGUUAGCUCAGUGACAAUCUUCCUCAAACAAAAAGAGGAAGAUUGGCAACAGAUGUUAGCUCAGGACCAGUCUCCCUCACACACACACAAAAAGUGAGUAAACUAGGCCCAGAGUCUAAUCAAAAGCUUAUUGAUGGGGGAGCUGUCCAUUCCCCAGAAUCCACCUGAUGGAAUGAAUGGCCACGGUAAAUAGCCAAGAAGAGAACUCAUGUUGGCUCUACCACUGCUUGGUAAUGUGCCUUCAGACAAGUCACUCAAAUUCUCUUGGCCCUAGUUUCUCCAUCUGUACUAUGAGGGAAGAUGUUCUGUGGGUUCUUCUGCUCUCCAUGAUUCUGUAAGGGUGCGCACUCUCACCUCCUAACGGUUAAGAGUAGAGGAUCUGAACAGACUGCCAGGAUUUGCAUCCCCGCUCUGCCACUCACCUGCUGUAUGUGACCUUGGGAAAAUUUCUUAACAUCUCUAAGCUUUACUUUCCUCAUCUGUAAAAUAAUAAUAGUUCCUAUUUCAUAGUGAUGCUGUGAAGAUUUAAUGAGAAAUGCACAUAAAACAUGUAGCACAGUGCCUGGUGAUAAAUAAAUGACUACUGUUGUUAUUCUAUGUGUAGAGUCAGAAGGCACCCACAGAGUAAGACAGAGACCAUCUAGGCCCACUGCUUUGUGUUAGAGAUGAGGAAACUGGCCCAGAGUGGUUGACUGCGCGAGGUCAUCUGUUUCACCUUGUGCACUUGAAGAUUGGGACAUUAGGGCGAGUGCUGGCAAUGCUGUUUAGCCACCAAGACUCCAUCAGGGCAACAGACAGUAGUUAGUCUUUGAAUGUGGCAAAAUUAAGGAAGAAAGAG
ensembl:lncRNA